CAGCAGCCGCGGGAAUACAGAGGGUGCGAGCGUUAAUCGGAUUUACUGGGCGUAAAGCGUGCGUAGGCGGCUUCUUAAGUCGGAUGUGAAAUCCCUGAGCUUAACUUAGGAAUUGCAUUCGAUACUGGUUAGCUAGAGUGUGGGAGAGGAUGGUAGAAUUCCAGGUGUAGCGGUGAAAUGCGUAGAGAUCUGGAGGAAUACCGAUGGCGAAGGCAGCCAUCUGGCCUAACACUGACGCUGAGGUACGAAAGCAUGGGGAGCAAACAGGAUUAGAUACCCCAGUAGUCCCUGUCUCUUAUAA
rnacentral:rRNA from 1 species